UACGUAGGGUGCAAGCGUUGUCCGGAUUAUUGGGCGUAAAGAGCGUGUAGGCGGCCAGACAGGUCAGCUGUGAAAACUCGAGGCUCAACCUCGAGACGUCGGUUGAAACCGUCUGGCUAGAGUCCGGAAGAGGAGAGUGGAAUUCCCGGUGUAGCGGUGAAAUGCGCAGAUAUCGGGAAGAACACCCGUGGCGAAGGCGGCUCUCUGGGACGGUACUGGACGCUGAGACGCGAAAGCGUGGGGAGCGAACAGG
rnacentral:rRNA from 1 species